rnacentral:tRNA from 1 species
GGGGCUGUAUCCGCCUAGGCGGAUGAUAGAGCGCUACAUUCGUCCGCCUGGGCGGAUAGAGGUCAGGGGUUUAAGUCCCCUCAGCUCCACCA